CUGGCAGCAUUUGGCCAUCUGAUCUGUGGUCUGUAUCCCUCAGAGAUUAAGAAACUGACCCCUUACAAUCUCAGUGUGGCUGUCCUGUUCCUGCGGGAGAUGACCCUGCCAUGCACAGAGCAGCAGAUGGAAGCGUUGACAAGCCGGUUGUCCAGCCCGGAAGCCUUUGGUCCAGCCAGUGCUUGGGGACCAGAGGUCUUCACUGAAAUUGGGACAUUGGCAGCGGGCCUGGAGGAUAUGGUGCUGUCGGCUCUGGUACAAGAACAAGUGGAAGGAAUCAC